rnacentral:rRNA from 1 species
AUUGAACGCUGGCGGCAGGCCUAACACAUGCAAGUCGAGCGGCGCCGCGGACGGGUGAGUAAUGACUAGGAAUCUGCCUGGUAGUGGGGGAUAACGUCCGGUAACGGGCGCUAAUACCGCAUACUAUCAGAUGAGACUAGGUCGGAUUAGCUAGUUGGUGGGGUAAAGGCCUACCAAGGCGACGAUCCGUAACUGGUCUGAGAGUAUGAUCAGUCACACUUGAACUGAGACAUGGUCAAGACUCCUACGGGAGGCAGCAGUGGGGAAUAUUGGACAAUGGGCGAAAACCUGAUCCAGCCAGGCCGCGUGUGUGAAGAAGGUCUUCGGAUUGUAAAGCACUUUAAGUUGGGAGGCGUUACCAACAGAAUAAGCACCGGCUAACUUCGUGCCAGCAGCCGCGGUAAUUC